GAUGAACGCUGGCGGCGUGCCUAAUACAUGCAAGUCGAGCGAACAGACGAGGAGCUUGCUCCUCUGACGUUAGCGGCGGACGGGUGAGUAACACGUGGAUAACCUACCUAUAAGACUGGGAUAACUUCGGGAAACCGGAGCUAAUACCGGAUAAUAUAUUGAACCGCAUGGUUCAAUAGUGAAAGACGGUUUUGCUGUCACUUAUAGAUGGAUCCGCGCCGCAUUAGCUAGUUGGUAAGGUAACGGCUUACCAAGGCAACGAUGCGUAGCCGACCUGAGAGGGUGAUCGGCCACACUGGAACUGAGACACGGUCCAGACGCCUACGGGAGGCAGCAGUAGGGAAUCUUCCGCAAUGGGCGAAAGCUUGACGGAGCAACGCCGCGUGAGUGAUGAAGGUCUUCGGAUCGUAAAACUCUGUUAUUAGUGAAGAACAAAUGUGUAAGUAACUAUGCACGUCUUGACGGUACCUAAUCAGAAAGCCACGGCUAACUACGUG
rnacentral:rRNA from 1 species